rnacentral:rRNA from 1 species
GAUGAACGCUAGCUACAGGCUUAACACAUGCAAGUCGAGGGGCAGCAUGAACUUAGCUUGCUAAGUUUGAUGGCGACCGGCGCACGGGUGAGUAACACGUAUCCAACCUGCCGAUGACUCGGGGAUAGCCUUUCGAAAGAAAGAUUAAUACCCGAUGGCAUAGUUCUUCCGCAUGGUAGAACUAUUAAAGAAUUUCGGUCAUCGAUGGGGAUGCGUUCCAUUAGGUUGUUGGCGGGGUAACGGCCCACCAAGCCUUCGAUGGAUAGGGGUUCUGAGAGGAAGGUCCCCCACAUUGGAACUGAGACACGGUCCAAACGCCUACGGGAGGCAGCAGUGAGGAAUAUUGGUCAAUGGACGAGAGUCUGAACCAGCCAAGUAGCGUGAAGGAUGACUGCCCUAUGGGUUGUAAACCUCUUUUAUACGGGAAUAAAGUGAGGCACGUGUGCCUUUUUGUAUGUACCGUAUGAAUAAGGAUCGGCUAACUCCGUG